rnacentral:rRNA from 1 species
UACGUAGGGGGCAAGCGUUGUCCGGAUUUAUUGGGCGUAAAGAGCGUGUAGGCGGCCAGGUAGGUCUGCUGUGAAAACUCGAGGCUCAACCUCGAGACGUCGAUGGAAACCAUCUGGCUAGAGUCCGGAAGAGGAGAGUGGAAUUCCUGGUGUAGCGGUGAAAUGCGCAGAUAUCAGGAAGAACACCCGUGGCUAAGGCGGCUCUCUAGUACGGUACUGACGCUGAUGCGCGAAAGCGUGGGGAGCAACGGG